rnacentral:tRNA from 1 species
CGGGGCGUAGUAUACCGGUAGUACGCUUGGUUUGGGACCAAGUAGACCGAGUUCGAUUCUCGGCGCCCCGACAA